UCAUCACUAAGUCCUGCUUUCUCAUCCAUGAAAGAAGCUAAUAAAUCAUUGUAAACUUGCUUUUUGCACCUCCUUGUUGAGAUGAUUUGUUCUAAGAUCUGUGCAAGCUCUUUCCUUGCUUUCAUUGCCUUGUGAAAUAGUGUUCCUGGUAGGUUUAUUGGCAUUGAAUUGUACCCUUUCUCAAGUGUGUAGUAACAUCUUUUUAGAUCUUCUCUAUAUAGAAUUUCAUCUUUUCCAAAAAUUGAUAGAAGUGCAACGUUGAAGGUGAACUGAAAAAGUUGAAAAAUAAGAAAAUUAUUAAAACCCAUUAUUUAUUUCGUAAUAAAAAGAGAAUUCAAGAAAGAAACAAUUAUUUUUUAUUUUUUCUUAAUAGUAAAAGAGAUGAUUUUAUUUUCCUCUGUUUUUUUCUCUGUUUUUACUCGGUUUUUUUUCUGGUUUCAAGUACUUACUGUUUUCAUUUCAAGGUAAGUGGUGAUUAAAUUUCCAUCCCAUGAUUUGAGGCAAGUUUGUGCAAUGGAUUCAAUAUUAGGAACAAUGCUUUUGAUGGCUUCAGGCAUGAAAGAACGAAGAACAAGUCUUCUUAGGUUAGCAUGAUAAUUUCCUUGAUGAAAG
rnacentral:lncRNA from 1 species